rnacentral:lncRNA from 1 species
AUGUCCAGGGCCUGGGGACAGCCUGGGAAUGUCCCUGUGGUGCUCUCCUGGCUCAGGUGCCUGCACGGGCAGAAGCUGGUGACCAUGUCUGUCCAACACCGGAGAGGGGUGUCUACUCUCCAGCUUACCAUCCCAGCUCCCGUCCUGGAGGAUGAGAUGGAGGAGGAAGAGGUCUACGUGCACUGCCUGCUGACAGCGUGGGGCCCCGUGGGCACCCGGGGACAUGGCACCAGGUCCUGCUUCUACAGCCAAGCCACAGACAGGUACGCUCAGCCCUGGCACAGGCUCCCUCAUGGUGGCCCAGGACCCAACCACCCAUGGCUGCUUUGGGAGCAGAAGCCACCGGGCAGGGGGACCAAGCCACCCCACUGUGGUCUAGAUGCCACCUCUACCCCUGAUAGCAGGGUAGCAUCACUGCACAUCCCAGCUCUGGUGGGCCCCUCUGGGUGCAGGUGCACUGGGGAGGUGCUGAUGGGAGAUAAAAGACCCCUUUGGGGUGGCCAAGACCUGCAGAGCUGGAGGGACCUGCUGGCAUGGCACCAUAUGGGUCUUGAGGGGGAACCCCUGGAUCCCCAAGCUCUGUCCUCUCCUCGCAGCUGGCACAAUGCAGAGGACCCUUCGCAGAGCGCCCUGUGCCACUGCUGUGACACCGGCUGUCCCCCCGGUGACACCCUCCCCGGAGAGCUGCCAGGGUUCCCAGGAGAGGGGACACCCCACUGGGAGACAGUUGGACCAUUGCUGGUGCAGAAGGAGAAGGUGCCAUGGUACGAAGGUGAGCGGACAACCCCAAAUGUCACCCCAUGGCCCCAAAGCCACCAUCCCAGGUGUCGAAGCGACCUCUGAACCCCUUAUUUUGUCUUUCUCUGCCGUCCCCAGAGCCGUGCCGCACAGUGAAGAGGUUCCUGUUGGCCGGGCUGGCCCUGGUGGGCAGCGCCCUGGUGGCAGCCACCCUGGUGGGGGGUCUGCUGGGGCUGGCCUUGGCUGCGUGGCGCCUGGGCGGGCGCCGGCGGAGACAGCGGCGGCUGAGGCGGCAGUGUCCCUUCCACGCCGAGCUGCGGAGCGUGGUGAAGGCUUUGGCCCCCAGGGAGAUGAAGAAAGGAGGUGA